UUUAAAUCGGGGCAUCCAGCUGCCACCAGAUUCCUUGCAGGGUGAGGGAACUGUGCUUCCCCAGUACAAAUGGGGGCCCUCCUAAUCAUUUGGAUCAGGUUUGUCCUUAGUGACAGCAAUGUCUGUGAGCACUUCUGGGUCUGGCAGCAACAUCUUCAAUAUCUGAUCCCAAAAGAUAACCCCAGCUGGUGUCAUGAUCCUAGCCAGCACACCCACUGAGCCAGCUCACUGCCCCCAUUGGAUGCUCUGUGAAAGGAGCUGCUUUUCUG
rnacentral:lncRNA from 1 species